UACGUAGGGGGCAAGCGUUGUCCGGAUUUAUUGGGCGUAAAGAGCGUGUAGGCGGCUUGGUAGGUCCGCUGUGAAAACUCGAGGCUCAACCUCGAGAUGUCGGCGGAAACCACUUGGCUAGAGUCCGGAAGAGGAGAGUGGAAUUCCCGGUGUAGCGGUGAAAUGCGCAGAUAUCGGGAAGAACACCAAAGGCGAAGGCAGCGUCCUGGGAAGCAUCUGACGCUCAGGUGCGAAAGCUAGGGGAGCGAACGGG
rnacentral:rRNA from 1 species